GACGAACGCUGGCGGCGUGCUUAACACAUGCAAGUCGAGCGGUAAGGCCCUUUCGGGGGUACACGAGCGGCGAACGGGUGAGUAACACGUGGGUGACCUGCCCUCAGCUCUGGGAUAAGCCUGGGAAACCGGGUCUAAUACUGGAUAUGACUCCAUGACGCAUGUUGUGGGGUGGAAAGCCUUGUGCGGCUGAGGAUGGGCCCGCGGCCUAUCAGCUUGUUGGUGGGGUGANGGCCUACCAAGGCGACGACGGGUAGCCGGCCUGAGAGGGCGACCGGCCACACUGGGACUGAGACACGGGCCCAGACUCCUACGGGAGGCAGCGAGUGGGGAAUCUUGCGCAAUGGGCGAAAGCCUGACGCAGCGACGCCGCGUGAGGGAU
rnacentral:rRNA from 1 species